UUUAUAAUAUUAAUAUUGAACCACUGUACUCACAUGAACCGAUUUAAAUAUGUUUUUAGUACCUUUAUGGAUCUUGAGAGAGGAAGUGUCAUUGCUCUCUAUGGUGGCCUCAAGGAGCUAUCGGAUAGCUAAAAUAUCUUAAUUUGUGUUCGAAGAUCAACGAAGGUCUUACGGGUGUGGAACGACAUGAGGGGCAGAGAGAUGAAACAGGUCGCUAUGCUCCUGCCUCCUGCUCUAAACACUUCUGGAUGAAACUACAUCAAAGCGGAGAACAGAAAACAAGAAUAUUUUAAGAUGCAUGGGUGGAGGCAGAUGGCGGAAUUAAAGGAUGAAACAAGGUUUAAUUAUGCAACUGAAUACAAAAGGUGUGAGAACCUAAUUUAGAUGUAUGUGUUUAUUAAAGACAAGAAGAAAAAAAAACAGUAUCAAGAUCAGGACACUGUCCAAUAAAUCACAGACCUGUGAAACUAGGACAUAUAGUAUGUUUCCCAAACACUGUCUGGGACUGUUGACGUCUCUUAAUAUAACACACACCUCCACAUCAAACGCAUAUCUGCUAAUAACACUCGGAACACUUUGAAAAGCCAAGUGUUUAUUGUUUCUAUUUAGUGUGCAAGACAAACCUGUCUGAGACUGUUGAUAUCUCCUGAUGUAACACACACAUUUGCAUCAAACACAUAUCAGCUGAAACACACUUGGAACGCUUUGAAAGACAAAGAGUGUUUAUCAUUCUAUUUAGAGCUGAUGACAAACCUCUUUAUCCUCAUAGUGAUGCAUCAUGAGAGACAAAUACAUCACAUUUGUGCAUGGCAACAAUUCUCCUUCAAAGCACAAAGAACAUGUUUGCACUGAUUGUGCUCAGUGUUUUUGAAGCACCAGUGUCUACAAGGCCAUUCACAGUCAGGGAUAAAGAUAAAACACAUUGGAUUCAAGCAAGCAAGUAUUAAAACCUUGAACAGCUAAUAUAUUUGUAUUGUGUUAGUCAUUGGAAGCAGGACUGACAAGUGUAUUUUAUGUGACUGUUAGUCAUUUGAAAUGGAAAGAAAGUAAAUGGCUUGUGAAGGUUACCGUAUCCUGCAUUGACAGAGAAAGUAUGGAAACACAGAUUACUUCAGGGCAAAAAACAGUGAGGUCCAAACGUGUGAGAUCACUAGUGAAAACAGAUCACUAUUUUGCUUUUUUUUUUUAUAUAUAUAGUUAAUUACUGUUUUUUAAUUACAAUUUAUAUUAAAUAAUUUCAGUGGAAAAAAUUUUUAAAUUUUAAAAAUAUAUAUAAAAGUACAAUUAAAUACAACAAAUACAAUAAAAAUCAGUUUUAGAAUGUAUUAGUAAUUAUUUGGUUUUGCUCUAAUGACAUUAGUGCUCAAGUUCAAACUACUGUAUAAACACUGAUGUUAAAGAAUUAGUUCACUUUCAAAUGAAAAUUGCCCCAAGCUUU